UUCCGGUUGAUCCUGCCAGAGGCUACUGCUAUUAGAGUUCGAUUAAGCCAUGUUAGUUAAGGGGACCUCGCAAGAGGUAACCCGGCGGACGGCUCAGUAACACGUGGAUAACUUACCCUUAGGAUAGGGAUAACCCCUGGGAAAUUGGGGACAAUACCUAAUAAGUCUUUGAUUGCUGGAAUGCACGAAGACCAAAAGCUAAGGCACCUAAGGAUAGGUCUGCGGCUGAUUAGGCUGUUGUUGAUGUAAUGGAUCAACAAGUCAACGAUCAGUACGGGUUGUGAGAGCAAUAGCCCGGAGAUGGGUUCUGAGAAAAGAACCCAGGUCCUACGGGACGCAUCAGGCGCGAAAACUUUACACUGUGCGAAAGCACGAUAAGGGAACUCUGAGUGCCUCCUCAGGAGGCUGUUCCGGUGUCUAAAAAGCAUCGGAAGGAAGGACUGGGUAAGACCGGUGCCAGCCGCCGCGGUAACACCGGCAGUCCAAGUGGUAGCCACUUUUAUUAGGUCUAAAGCGUCCGUAGCCGGCUAGGUAAGUCCCUUGGUAAAUCUGAUUGCUUAACGAUCAGGCUUCUAGGGGAUACUGCAGGGCUUGAGACCGGAAGAGGUCAGAGGUACUUCAAGGGUAGGAGUGAAAUCCUUUAAUCCCUGAAGGACCAUCAGUGGCGAAGGCAUCUGACCAGAACGGAUCUGACGGUGAGGGACGAAGGCUAGGGGCGCGAACCGGAUUAGAUACCCGGGUAGUCCUAGCAGUAAACGAUGCGGGCUAGGUGUUAGUAUCACUGCGAGUGGUACUAGUGUCGAAGGGAAGCCGUUAAGCCCGCCAUCUGGGAAGUACGGUCGCAAGGCUGAAACUUAAAGGAAUUGGCGGGGGAGCACUACAACGGGUGGAGCUUGCGGUUUAAUUGGAUUCAACGCCGUGAAUCUUACCGGGGAAGACAGCAAGAUGAAAGCCAGGCUAAAGACUUUGCUGAAUUAGCUGAGAGGUGGUGCAUGGCCGUCGGCAGUUCGUGCUGUGAAGCAUCCUGUUAAGUCAGGCAACGAGCGAGACCCGUGCUUGCAGUUGCCAGCAUCUCCGAAAGGAGGAUGGGCACUCUGCGAGGACUGCCUUCGCUAAGAAGGAGGAAGGAGCGGGCCACGGUAGGUCAGUAUGCCCCGAAUUUUCCGGGCUACACGCGUGCUACAAUGGGCGGUACAAUGGGUAUCGACCUCGAAAGGGGAAGGCAAACUCCUAAAACCGUCCGUGGUUGGGAUUGAGGACUGCAACUCGUCCUCAUGAACAUGGAAUCCGUAGUAAUCGCGUCUCAAAAUGGCGCGGUGAAUAUGUCCCUGCUCCUUGCACACACCGCCCGU
rnacentral:rRNA from 1 species